CCUGGGCCUGACACCCAAAACCCAAAUCCAAGCUCAAAACGGAAUCAAGUCCAAAAGGUUCAACAAACGGGCUUGGACCUAAACAAGAAAAUAAAAUUCUUCUGAAACAAUGUACUCGAGAAUAAAAUUAAUAAACUGUAAUUAGUCUAAUUGAAGAGUUACUAAAGCUGAAAAAUCAGUUACGCGCUAAAAAUAAUUCUAAUUACUUCGGGAAGAAAAGAAAGGAAAAAUAACAAAAGUACCAGUGAAGGAAGGUGAAGAAGAGGGAUGAGACAGUAUUUAUGAAUAGAACACAUUAGAAGAAGGAAAAAAAUGCAAAUUAAAGCUAAAUCCUUGAAUAAUUAACAAAGAAACCAAAACUCUAAUUUAAACUACUGAAUUAACAGAAAAGGGAGGAGAGAUUCGAGCUAUUGACCGGUAAUUUGAACUUAAAGAAGAAGGGAAGAAGGGUAUACCAAUUAAGCCUUAGAACCUUCGAGAACACUGACAACUUCAAUUCGAACUUUGGUGAACCAAAACUCGACCAAACGGUGAAAAUUACAACACGAAUAUUGGCCAAACUUCGUUCAUGGCUAAUGAUUCGUGCAACAAUCAUCAACGUGUGCCAAAAGGAGCGAAAGAGAGGCUCAAAAAGAUGGAAAUGCUCAAGAACUAUUUUUUCGAAAUUUGACCAAAUCCACGGAAAGGUCUUCUUGAUGUUCAAACAAAGUUAUUUUGUUGAAGAAGCUGGGUAACUCACGAGGUAUUUACUAUGGAUUGAAGGUUUAAUCCGAAAAACUUUGGAAAAGGAGGAAAAAAUUUGGAUUUUUAUUUUUUGAUCUGAAAUUCAGAGAAAUCGGGUGGUCUUUUGGUGAAAUUAAUAGUGAGACAAGACUAAGGAGACGAAGGUGGUUGUAGGGUGAAGGUUUGGAAGGAUUUGGAGGUGCUCCACCACCGUGGGGCGAUUUUCGGGCGGCGAAGCUGUGGUGGAGGUGAGCGGCGAUUUUCAGGGACAGGGGGCCUAGGUUUGGUUUAAAAUGGGAUUGAUGAAGACUGAAGGGAAAUUGGUCGUUUAAUGGGUUGGGAUAAAU
rnacentral:lncRNA from 1 species